GAUGAAGAACGUAGCGAAAUGCGAUAAGUAGUGUGAAUUGCAGAAUUCAGUGAAUCAUCGAAUCUUUGAACGCACAUUGCGCCCUUUGGUAUUCCAAAAGGCAUGCCUGUUCGAGCGUCAUUUGUACCCUCAAGCUUUGCUUGGUGUUGGGCGUCUUGUCUCUAGCUUUGCUGGAGACUCGCCUUAAAGUAAUUGGCAGCCGGCCUACUGGUUUCGGAGCGCAGCACAAGUCGCACUCUCUAUCAGCAAAGGUCUAGCAUCCAUUAAGCCUUUUUUUCAACUUUUGACCUCGGAUCAGGUAGGGAUACCCGCUGAACUUAAGCAUAUCAAUAAGCGGAGGA
rnacentral:misc_RNA from 1 species